rnacentral:rRNA from 1 species
UACAGAGGUGGCAAGCGUUGUUCGGAAUUACUGGGCGUAAAGGGCGCGUAGGUGGCCUUCUUAGUCAGACGUGAAAUCCCCAGGCUUAACCUGGGAACUGCGUCUGAUACUGGAAGGCUCGAGUUCGGGAGAGGAAUGUGGAAUUCCAGGUGUAGCGGUGAAAUGCGUAGAUAUCUGGAGGAACACCGGUGGCGAAGGCGGAAUUCUGGACCGAAACUGACGCUGAGGCGCGAAAGCCAGGGGAGCAAACGGG